CCUGUCUUUCUCCUCUCUGUGUGUCUCUGAAAUACACACACAUACUCUCUCGCACAAAGGAGGGAAAGUGUCACUAUGGAAACAAGGAGGCGAGAUUCUAAAAGCUACCUCUUGAGACGAGAGUUAAGACAACAAAAAGGAGUCCACUGUGUGAGUGGCAGAAAAGCAACAAUAUACACAGCAGCUAUACCUCUCCUUCCUGUGAAUGUCCUCAUCAAGUUGCUUUGCCAGCCCUUUUAUCUUUAUCCCUCUGGGGUUUUUUUGUUUUGUUUUUUUACCUUUACCAGACUGUGCAGUUACCUUACAAUGAUGAAUGUAAGCCUAAAUGAGUUGAGACGCAGAGAAAUGCCCGCGGGAGACAGAGGAGGAGGCUGGGAGGGUCACUGCUGUCCUUAGUGAUGUCUCCUUCAAGAGUAAUCAGCACCAUGGACAGCAACACCGAUCUCCACCAUCACAGGCACCACAGCAGGCAUCCAUCUCAAUAGACUCAAAAAGGCUUCCUGUGCUUAGCUCCUUUCCAUUUUCAUUUUCUGCUGAUGUGAAAGAAUUGGAUAGGUGAAAGUGGGCUGCACAUUAAGCUUCAGCCUUGAUGUACACCUUCAGCCCUCGGUCUAUAACAGGAAUGGAAAGCACAUGCAGGGGGUGAUAGAGGAAGAGGCGAAGCUAACUGUGAAAGACCUGCAGGCAAUCACAUCUAUUAAUAAAAUCUCUAAUGUAAAACUCCUUGUGGAUGAGUUCCUUCUGUGAUGGCAGAUUCACACACCUACGAGGAGCAAUAUGCAGCACAAG
rnacentral:lncRNA from 1 species